CGGAGGAAAAGAAACCAACAGGGAUUGCCUCAGUAACGGCGAGUGAAGCGGCAAAAGCUCAAAUUUGAAAUCCCCCGGGAAUUGUAAUUUGAAGAGAUUUGGGUCCGGCCGGCGGGGGUUAAGUCCACUGGAAAGUGGCGCCACAGAGGGUGACAGCCCCGUGAACCCCGUCAACGCCUUCAUCCCAGAUCUCCAAGAGUCGAGUUGUUUGGGAAUGCAGCUCUAAGUGGGUGGUAAAUUCCAUCUAAAGCUAAAUACCGGCGAGAGACCGAUAGCGAACAAGUACAGUGAUGGAAAGAUGAAAAGCACUUUGAAAAGAGAGUGAAAAAGUACGUGAAAUUGUUGAAAGGGAAGGGCUUGCAAGCAGACACUUAACUGGGCCAGCAUCGGGGCGGCGGGAAGCAAAACCACUGGGGAAUGUACCUUUCGAGGAUUAUAACCCCGGUCCUUACUCCCUCGCCGUCCCGAGGCCUGCAAUCUAAGGAUGCUGGCGUAAUGGUUGCAAGUCGCCCGUCUGAAAACGAGGGGACAAA
rnacentral:rRNA from 1 species